ACAGGAGGCUCUGCAUCAGACCAAACUUGGUGGCCUCUAAGAGCUAGCAUUUGGAUAAUGAGAAAACCAUACAACUCCCAGGCCUGCUCACAUUUUUAUCAACACCAAGCACAAAGCAAUCAUAUCUAGAAGCCAAUGGUAUCCCCACCAAGGAAAACUGUCUUCAAUUCUUAACUAAAAGGUCAAAGACAAAGGCAAGUAUUCUUUAUGUAGAAUUUUUCCAUCCCAACUUCUGACAUGUAGAGGCAACAGCAUCUGGCAUCUCUCCAUAGACGCUUAGCUUCUGGUGUUCUUUCUGGCCCCUCCAUGGACUUUUCUUAUCUCAUCUGUGUGCUUCUUUAAGCUUUUACUGUAAAGAAAAAAAGGGAUUUGGAAAAUCACAUAAAACAAAGAUGCAGCUUAAGAUAAACAUCCCCAUGUAGGCCACAACACAGCCUUGCUGCAGACCAGGAAUGUCCUGCAGGCCUCUCUCCCUUCCCAGGAAGGGGACCGAAGUGUCCUGGGGUGCUGCUGGCUCAGGGUCUGCUUGCAAGGGCAGACUUUCUUCCUAUCUUUUCAGGCCCUCCAGGGGCCCAACAUACUCAUUCUUCUCCCUNUAGGUCACACAGAGAUGGGAGGAUGCCACCCACUGUUAGAACAAACGUGAUCUGGGGGCUCAGUGCACUCAGUAGCCCCAUUCUGACACAUGCAGACGGCAGUUCUUGGGGUUCGCUGAGGAAAAGGAGUCUGACGGCUCUUGCAGGUAGCCUCAGACCAGCCAUAGAAUAGUGGACAUGGGUAGCGCAAUGGAUACAAAACUAAAAAGACACAGUUUCCAACUUGCUGCCUUUAACUUGUGCAGGAAUGAGAAUUACUAACCUAGUGCAGUAACCAGACUCUGACAAUGGUUGCCUGUGGGCAGAGCAGCCUGGCUUGCUAUAGUCCAUGGGGCUGCAGAUUAGGACACAACUGAAGCAACUAAGCAUGCAUGCACACACGCAGCAGUUGUAAACUACUCUCCUUAAAAAAAAAAAAAAAAAAA
rnacentral:lncRNA from 1 species